AAAUUGAAGAGUUUGAUCAUGGCUCAGAUUGAACGCUGGCGGCAGGCCUAACACAUGCAAGUCGAACGGUAACAGAAAGCAGCUUGCUGCUUUGCUGACGAGUGGCGGACGGGUGAGUAAUGUCUGGGAAACUGCCUGAUGGAGGGGGAUAACUACUGGAAACGGUAGCUAAUACCGCAUAACGUCGCAAGACCAAAGAGGGGGACCUUAGGGCCUCUUGCCAUCGGAUGUGCCCAGAUGGGAUUAGCUAGUAGGUGGGGUAACGGCUCACCUAGGCGACGAUCCCUAGCUGGUCUGAGAGGAUGACCAGCCACACUGGAACUGAGACACGGUCCAGACUCCUACGGGAGGCAGCAGUGGGGAAUAUUGCACAAUGGGCGCAAGCCUGAUGCAGCCAUGCCGCGUGUAUGAAGAAGGCCUUCGGGUUGUAAAGUACUUUCAGCGGGGAGGAAGGGAGUAAAGUUAAUACCUUUGCUCAUUGACGUUACCCGCAGAAGAAGCACCGGCUAACUCCGUGCCAGCAGCCGCGGUAAUACGGAGGGUGCAAGCGUUAAUCGGAAUUACUGGGCGUAAAGCGCACGCAGGCGGUUUGUUAAGUCAGAUGUGAAAUCCCCGGGCUCAACCUGGGAACUGCAUCUGAUACUGGCAAGCUUGAGUCUCGUAGAGGGGGGUAGAAUUCCAGGUGUAGCGGUGAAAUGCGUAGAGAUCUGGAGGAAUACCGGUGGCGAAGGCGGCCCCCUGGACGAAGACUGACGCUCAGGUGCGAAAGCGUGGGGAGCAAACAGGAUUAGAUACCCUGGUAGUCCACGCCGUAAACGAUGUCGACUUGGAGGUUGUGCCCUUGAGGCGUGGCUUCCGGAGCUAACGCGUUAAGUCGACCGCCUGGGGAGUACGGCCGCAAGGUUAAAACUCAAAUGAAUUGACGGGGGCCCGCACAAGCGGUGGAGCAUGUGGUUUAAUUCGAUGCAACGCGAAGAACCUUACCUGGUCUUGACAUCCACGGAAGUUUUCAGAGAUGAGAAUGUGCCUUCGGGAACCGUGAGACAGGUGCUGCAUGGCUGUCGUCAGCUCGUGUUGUGAAAUGUUGGGUUAAGUCCCGCAACGAGCGCAACCCUUAUCCUUUGUUGCCAGCGGUCCGGCCGGGAACUCAAAGGAGACUGCCAGUGAUAAACUGGAGGAAGGUGGGGAUGACGUCAAGUCAUCAUGGCCCUUACGACCAGGGCUACACACGUGCUACAAUGGCGCAUACAAAGAGAAGCGACCUCGCGAGAGCAAGCGGAUCUCAUAAAGUGCGUCGUAGUCCGGAUUGGAGUCUGCAACUCGACUCCAUGAAGUCGGAAUCGCUAGUAAUCGUGGAUCAGAAUGCCACGGUGAAUACGUUCCCGGGCCUUGUACACACCGCCCGUCACACCAUGGGAGUGGGUUGCAAAAGAAGUAGGUAGCUUAACCUUCGGGAGGGCGCUUACCACUUUGUGAUUCAUGACUGGGGUGAAGUCGUAACAAGGUAACCGUAGGGGAACCUGCGGUUGGAUCACCUCCUUA
rnacentral:rRNA from 1 species